rnacentral:rRNA from 1 species
ACGGGUGAGUAACGCGUAGACAACCUACCUUCUAGAUGGGGACAACACCGCGAAAGUGGUGCUAAUACCGAAUGUUGUAUGAAGAUCACAUGGUUUUCAUACUAAAGAUGGCCUCUAUUUAUAAGCUAUCGCUAGAAGACGGGUCUGCGUCUGAUUAGCUAGUAGGCGGGGUAAAAGCCCACCUAGGCGACGAUCAGUAGCCGGUCUGAGAGGAUGAACGGCCACACUGGGACUGAGACACGGCCCAGACUCCUACGGGAGGCAGCAGUGGGGAAUCUUCCGCAAUGGACGAAAGUCUGACGGAGCAACGCCGCGUGAGUGAUGAAGGCCUUCGGGUUGUAAAGCUCUGUUAUCGGGGAAGAACACUUUCUAUGUGAAUAAUGUAGGGAGUUGACGGUACCCGAGGAGGAAGCCACGGCUAACUACGUGCCAGCAGCCGCGGUAAUACGUAGGUGGCGAGCGUUGUCCGGAAUUAUUGGGCGUAAAGCGCGCGUAGGCGGGAAAGUAAGUCUACUCUAAAAGUGCGGGGCUCAACCCCGUGAUGGGGUGGAAACUGCUUUUCUUGAGUGCCGGAGAGGAAAGCGGAAUUCCC